CACAUGCUGUUGCAAUACUUUGUACCUGUACAUAUAUUUUUUUAAUAGUUAUGAUAACUAUUAAAAAAAUAUAUGUACAGGUACAAAGUAUUGCAACAGCAUAUG
rnacentral:sRNA from 1 species